CUCCUGCUGAGCGUUGCCUUGGUUUUUUCCCUUUUAGCCUGCAGGCGCCGAAUUCAGUGGGGCGCCAGAAGGCUAAAAGGGAAAAAACCGAGGCAAUGCUUGGCGGGAG
rnacentral:miRNA from 1 species